rnacentral:rRNA from 1 species
GGCAGUCAGAGGCGAUGAAGGACGUGCUAAUCUGCGAUAAGCGUCGGUAAGGUGAUAUGAACCGUUAUAACCGGCGAUUUCCGAAUGGGGAAACCCAGUGUGAUUCGUCACACUAUCAUUAACUGAAUCCAUAGGUUAAUGAGGCGAACCGGGGGAACUGAAACAUCUAAGUACCCCGAGGAAAAGAAAUCAACCGAGAUUCCCCCAGUAGCGGCGAGCGAACGGGGAGGAGCCCAGAGCCUGAAUCAGUGUGUGUGUUAGUGGAAGCGUCUGGAAAGGCGCGCGAUACAGGGUGACAGCCCCGUACACAAAAAUACACAUGCUGUGAGCUCGAUGAGUAGGGCGGGACACGUGGUAUCCUGUCUGAAUAUGGGGGGACCAUCCUCCAAGGCUAAAUACUCCUGACUGACCGAUAGUGAACCAGUACCGUGAGGGAAAGGCGAAAAGAACCCCGGCGAGGGGAGUGAAAAAGAACCUGAAACCGUGUACGUACAAGCAGUGGGAGCACAGAGCAAUCUGUGUGACUGCGUACCUUUUGUAUAAUGGGUCAGCGACUUAUAUUCUGUAGCAAGGUUAACCGAAUAGGGGAGCCGAAGGGAAACCGAGUCUUAACUGGGCGUUAAGUUGCAGGGUAUAGACCCGAAACCCGGUGAUCUAGCCAUGGGCAGGUUGAAGGUUGGGUAACACUAACUGGAGGACCGAACCGACUAAUGUUGAAAAAUUAGCGGAUGACUUGUGGCUGGGGGUGAAAGGCCAAUCAAACCGGGAGAUAGCUGGUUCUCCCCGAAAGCUAUUUAGGUAGCGCCUCGUGAAUUCAUCUCCGGGGGUAGAGCACUGUUUCGGCAAGGGGGUCAUCCCGACUUACCAACCCGAUGCAAACUGCGAAUACCGGAGAAUGUUAUCACGGGAGACACACGGCGGGUGCUAACGUCCGUCGUGAAGAGGGAAACAACCCAGACCGCCAGCUAAGGUCCCAAAGUCAUGGUUAAGUGGGAAACGAUGUGGGAAGGCCCAGACAGCCAGGAUGUUGGCUUAGAAGCAGCCAUCAUUUAAAGAAAGCGUAAUAGCUCACUGGUCGAGUCGGCCUGCGCGGAAGAUGUAACGGGGCUAAACCAUGCACCGAAGCUGCGGCAGCGACGCUUAUGCGUUGUUGGGUAGGGGAGCGUUCUGUAAGCCUGCGAAGGUGUGCUGUGAGGCAUGCUGGAGGUAUCAGAAGUGCGAAUGCUGACAUAAGUAACGAUAAAGCGGGUGAAAAGCCCGCUCGCCGGAAGACCAAGGGUUCCUGUCCAACGUUAAUCGGGGCAGGGUGAGUCGACCCCUAAGGCGAGGCCGAAAGGCGUAGUCGAUGGGAAACAGGUUAAUAUUCCUGUACUUGGUGUUACUGCGAAGGGGGGACGGAGAAGGCUAUGUUGGCCGGGCGACGGUUGUCCCGGUUUAAGCGUGUAGGCUGGUUUUCCAGGCAAAUCCGGAAAAUCAAGGCUGAGGCGUGAUGACGAGGCACUACGGUGCUGAAGCAACAAAUGCCCUGCUUCCAGGAAAAGCCUCUAAGCAUCAGGUAACAUCAAAUCGUACCCCAAACCGACACAGGUGGUCAGGUAGAGAAUACCAAGGCGCUUGAGAGAACUCGGGUGAAGGAACUAGGCAAAAUGGUGCCGUAACUUCGGGAGAAGGCACGCUGAUAUGUAGGUGAAGCGACUUGCUCGUGGAGCUGAAAUCAGUCGAAGAUACCAGCUGGCUGCAACUGUUUAUUAAAAACACAGCACUGUGCAAACACGAAAGUGGACGUAUACGGUGUGACGCCUGCCCGGUGCCGGAAGGUUAAUUGAUGGGGUCAGCGCAAGCGAAGCUCUUGAUCGAAGCCCCGGUAAACGGCGGCCGUAACUAUAACGGUCCUAAGGUAGCGAAAUUCCUUGUCGGGUAAGUUCCGACCUGCACGAAUGGCGUAAUGAUGGCCAGGCUGUCUCCACCCGAGACUCAGUGAAAUUGAACUCGCUGUGAAGAUGCAGUGUACCCGCGGCAAGACGGAAAGACCCCGUGAACCUUUACUAUAGCUUGACACUGAACAUUGAGCCUUGAUGUGUAGGAUAGGUGGGAGGCUUUGAAGUGUGGACGCCAGUCUGCAUGGAGCCGACCUUGAAAUACCACCCUUUAAUGUUUGAUGUUCUAACGUGGACCCGUAAUCCGGGUUGCGGACAGUGUCUGGUGGGUAGUUUGACUGGGGCGGUCUCCUCCUAAAGAGUAACGGAGGAGCACGAAGGUUGGCUAAUCCUGGUCGGACAUCAGGAGGUUAGUGCAAUGGCAUAAGCCAGCUUGACUGCGAGCGUGACGGCGCGAGCAGGUGCGAAAGCAGGUCAUAGUGAUCCGGUGGUUCUGAAUGGAAGGGCCAUCGCUCAACGGAUAAAAGGUACUCCGGGGAUAACAGGCUGAUACCGCCCAAGAGUUCAUAUCGACGGCGGUGUUUGGCACCUCGAUGUCGGCUCAUCACAUCCUGGGGCUGAAGUAGGUCCCAAGGGUAUGGCUGUUCGCCAUUUAAAGUGGUACGCGAGCUGGGUUUAGAACGUCGUGAGACAGUUCGGUCCCUAUCUGCCGUGGGCGCUGGAGAACUGAGGGGGGCUGCUCCUAGUACGAGAGGACCGGAGUGGACGCAUCACUGGUGUUCGGGUUGUCAUGCCAAUGGCACUGCCCGGUAGCUAAAUGCGGAAGAGAUAAGUGCUGAAAGCAUCUAAGCACGAAACUUGCCCCGAGAUGAGUUCUCCCUGACUCCUUGAGAGUCCUGAAGGAACGUUGAAGACGACGACGUUGAUAGGCCGGGUGUGUAAGCGCAGCGAUGCGUUGAGCUAACCGGUACUAAUGAACCGUGAGGCUUAACC